rnacentral:rRNA from 1 species
UACGGAGGGUGCAAGCGUUGUCCGGAAUUAUUGGGCGUAAAGAGCUCGUAGGCGGUCUGUCGCGUCUGGUGUGAAAACUCAAGGCUUAACCUUGGGCCUGCAUCGGGUACGGGCAGACUAGAGUGCGGUAGGGGAGACUGGAAUUCCUGGUGUAGCGGUGAAAUGCGCAGAUAUCAGGAGGAACACCGGUGGCGAAGGCGGGUCUCUGGGCCGUAACUGACGCUGAGGAGCGAAAGCGUGGGGAGCAAACAGG